rnacentral:rRNA from 1 species
GAAUUGACGGGGACCCGCACAAGCGGUGGAGCAUGUGGUUUAAUUCGAAGCAACGCGAAGAACCUUACCAGGUCUUGACAUCCCGAUGACCGGCCCGUAACGGGGCCUUCCCUACGGGGCAACGGAGACAGGUGGUGCAUGGUUGUCGUCAGCUCGUGUCGUGAGAUGUUGGGUUAAGUCCCGCAACGAGCGCAACCCUUAUCCUUAGUAGCCAGCACGUGAUGGUGGGCACUCUAGGGAGACUGCCAGGGACAACCUGGAGGAAGGUGGGGAUGACGUCAAAUCAUCAUGCCCCUUAUGAUCUGGGCUACACACGUGCUACAAUGGCGGCCACAAAGGGAAGCGACCCUGUGAAGGUGAGCAAAUCCCAAAAAAGCCGUCCCAGUUCGGAUUGUAGUCUGCAACUCGACUACAUGAAGUCGGAAUCGCUAGUAAUCGCGAAUCAGCAUGUCGCGGUGAAUACGUUCCCGGGUCUUGUACACACCG